rnacentral:rRNA from 1 species
GAUGAACGCUAGCUACAGGCUUAACACAUGCAAGUCGAGGGGCAGCAUGGUCUUAGCUUGCUAAGGCCGAUGGCGACCGGCGCACGGGUGAGUAACACGUAUCCAACCUGCCGUCUACUCUUGGACAGCCUUCUGAAAGGAAGAUUAAUACAAGAUGGCAUCAUGAGUCCGCAUGUUCACAUGAUUAAAGGUAUUCCGGUAGACGAUGGGGAUGCGUUCCAUUAGAUAGUAGGCGGGGUAACGGCCCACCUAGUCUUCGAUGGAUAGGGGUUCUGAGAGGACGGUCCCACAAAUUGGAACUGAGCAACGGUCCAAACUCCUACGGGAGGCAGCAGUGAGGAAUAGUGGUCAAUGGUCGCAGGCCUGAACCAGCCAAGUAGCGUGAAGGAUGACUGCCCUAUGGGUUGUAAACUUCUUUUAUAAAGGAAUAAAGUCGGGUAUGUAUACCCGUUUGCAUGUACUUUAUGAAUAAGGAUCGGCUAACUACGUG